GGACGUACUAGACAACGAAACGCUAUGGCGAGCUGUCAUGAUGCUGUGACCCAUAGAUAUCCCUGGAGUAAACUCCAAAGUUAUAUAAUCUACCCAGUGAACUGAAACAUCUAAGUAACUGGAGGAAUAGACAUCAACCGAGAUUUUGCUAGUAGUGGUGAGCGAACGUGAAAUAGGCCCUAUAUUCUUGAUAACACUUUAAUACUUAAAUAGGUGGAAUCCUAUACCAUAGAAGGUGAUAGUCCUGUUAGUAACAAUUAUUAUCAUUUUAAGAAUAUAGUUUAUGAGUACCACGGGACAAGUAUCUUGUGGGAAGAUAGGGGGACCACCCUCUAAGCCUAAAUAUAACAGUGUGAUCGAUAGUGAAGAGUACCGUGAGGGAAAGGUGAAAUAGUACCCCGAGAGGGGAGUGAAAUAGUUCCUGAAACGGUAUGCCUACAAGCAGUCGGAGCCUACUUACGAGUGGGUUACGGCGUACCUUUUGCAUAAUGGGUCAGCGAGUAGACAUAUCUUGCAAGCUUAAGCCGGUAGGUGGAGGCCUAGUGAAAGCAAGUCUUAAUAGGGCGUGAUAGAGUAAGAUAUGUCUGACCCGAAACAAGGUGAUCUAGUUAUGUGCCGGUGGAAGAUUUAUCAACAUAAAUCGGAGGACCUCACCCACGUCUGUGGCAAUAGACGGGGAUGACAUGUGACUAGGGGUGAAAAGCCAAUCGAACCUGGAUAUAGCUGGUUUUCUGCGAAAUCUAUUUAGGUAGAGCAUAUAGUAACAGAUAUUAUUAGGGGGUAGAGCACUCGUUGGUGGCAGGUGGCCCAAAGCUUGACUGUCUCCAAGGAAACUCCGAAUACCUAAUUAAUACGCUAUAGAGACAGACACAGGGUGCUAAGGUCCUGUGUCGAGAGGGAAACAGCCCAGACCGAACGCUAAGGUUCCUAAACCAUAUCUGAGUGGGAAAGGAUGUGAAUGCGCUUAGACAACCAGGAAGUAGGCUUGGAAGCAGCCACCUUAUGAUGAAAGCGUAACAGCUCACUGGUCGAUGCGUAUUUGCGCCUACAAUGUAACGGAGCUAAAGAUAUGUACCGAAGCGGCGGCCAAUCAUAUAUAGAUGAUUGGGGUAGCAGAACGUUCCGUAUGUUGUUGAAGGUAUUAUGUGAAUAAUGCUGGAGAUAUCGGAAGUGAGAAUGCUGACAUGAGUAACGUCAUAUCCUGUGAAAACCAGGAUCGCCGAAAAUUCAAGGGUUUCUACAGCACGGUAUACGGUGUAGAGUGAUUCGGCCCCUAAGGUAUUGGUCAAUACCAAAUAUCGAUGGGUAUAAUAUAUGUGACGGGAAUUGUUUUUGCAUUUAUUAAUAAUCGGAUAUUUAAUAAAGAGUGAAAUGUUCUCCAGGAAAUAGCAUAUAUAUUUAUAUAACCGUACCCCAAACCAACACAGGUGAAUUGGUGUAAGUGCACUCAGGCGAUGAGAUAAGUAUAUUGAAGGAACUCGGCAAAUUGCCUCCGUACCUUUGGAAAAUGGAGGACCGUGUAUAACUACACGGUGGCACAACAUAGGGGGUAGCGACUGUUUACUAAAAACACAGGACUCUGCUAAGUGGUAACACGACGUAUAGGGUCUGACACCUGCCCGGUGCUGGAUACCGAACAGGACAGGUUAACGCUUGAAAUCGAAGGUCCAGUAAACGGCGGCCGUAACUCUGACGGUCCUAAGGUAGCGAAAUUCCUUGUCGGGUAAGUUCCGACGUGCAUGAAUGGUGUCACGACUGCCCCGCUGUCUCCAAUAUACACUCAGUGAAAUUGAAUUCUCCGUGCAGAUGCGGAGUUCCCGAAAGAAGACGGUAAGACCCUAUGCACCUUUACUGCAAUCUAUUAUUGACACUGGAUACACGUUGUGUAGGAUAGGUGGGAGCAAUAGCAUCCUUGAAAUACCACCCUGCGUGUCUUUUGUGUCUCACCCUAUAAGGGGACCGUGAUAGAUGGGUAGUUUGACUGGGGCGGUGGCUUCCUAAAGAGUAACGGAAGCGUGCGAAGGUAAGUUCACAUGGGACAGAAACCCAUGGUAGAGCGUAAUGGUAUAUACUUGCCUGACUGUAAGACUCACAGGUCGAGCAGAGACGAAAGUCGGCCAUAGUGACCCGGGAGUACCACGUGGAUGGGCUCUCGAGUAACGGAUCAAAGGUACGCUAGGGAUAACAGGCUGAUGACUCCCAAGAGCUCCUAUCGACGGAGUCGUUUGGCACCUCGAUGUCGACUCAUCGCAUCCUCGAGCUGAAGAAGGUUCGAAGGGUUCGGCUGUUCGCCGAUUAAAGCGGUACGUGAGUUGGGUUUAAUACGUCGUAAGACAGUAUGGAUCCUAUCUCUUUUGGGUGUAUAAAACUGCGGAGAUCGUGUUCUUGUACGAGAGGACCGAACAUGACAAACCUCUGAUGGACCAGUUGUUUCGCCAGAAGCACAGCUGGGUAGUUACGUUUGGGAGUAACAACUGCUGAAAGCAUCUCAAGCAGGCAAUCUCUAUCCAAAACAAGUUUUAUUUAUCGUAGAAGACUACUACGUAAUAGGUGGAAUGUCUAAACAUAGUAAUAUGUGUGCAUAUCCAUACUAAUAGU
rnacentral:rRNA from 1 species